rnacentral:lncRNA from 1 species
AGGUCUAAUUUUGGGUAAUUUGGGUCCAUUUAUGAAGGUUCUAGGACCAUCAAGGUAGCUUCUGAAGCCCGGGCAGCUAUUUGGGGUUACAGGGUGAGGUUUUGGGGUCUCCUACAAGAUAGUUAUGGGGUCAGGGGGGUCCCUUGGUGGUCCUGAGGUAGAUUUUGGGUCACUUUAGCACCAAUUUGGGUCACUUUAGCUCCAAUUUGGGUCCAGUUAUGAAGGUUCUAGGUCCUUCAAGGUAGGUUCUGAAGCCCGGGGAGCUAUUUGGGGUUAUGGGGUGGGGUUUUGGGGUCCUUUGGGAUGUAGUUAUGGGAUUGGGGGGUCACCUGGUGGUUUUGGGGUGAAUUUUGGGUCACUUUAGUUCUAAUUUGGGGCAAUUUGGGUCCAGUUAUGAAGGUUCUAGGUCCGUCAAGGUAGCUUCUGAAGCCUGGGGAGCUAUUUGGGGUCCCGUGGUCAGGUUUUGGGGUCCCCUACAAGAUAGUUAUGGGGUCAGGGGGGGUCACCUGGUGAUCCCGGGGUAUAUUUUGGGUCACUUUAGCACCAAUUUGGGUCACUUUAGCUCCAAUUUGGGUCCAGUUAUGAAGGUUCUAGGUCCUUCAAGGUAGCUUCUGAAGCCCAGGGAGCUAUUUGGGGUUAUGGGGUGGGGUUUUGGGGUCCUUUGGGAUGUAAUUAUGGGAUCGGGGGGGUCCCCUGGUGUUCCUAGUGUGGAUUUUGGGUCACUUUAGCUCUAAUUUUGGACAAUUUGGGUCCAUUUAUGAAGGUUCUAGGUCCGUCAAGGUAGCUUCUGAAGCCCGGGCAGCUAUUUGGGGUUACAGGAUGAGGUUUUGGGGUCCCCUACAAGAUAGUUAUGGGGUCAGGCGGGUCCCUUGGUGGUCCUGGGGUAGAUUUUGGGUCACUUUAGCACCAAUUUGGGUCACUUUA